rnacentral:lncRNA from 1 species
UCAUGCUGUCGGGCCCUCAUUUUCUUGCGAAAUCAGGUUUACGACAUUUGGAGGACAACUCAUUCCCUUUUGGGAAUUUGGGUUUAAAUUUAAGAGUCGCCACCUAAUGAUUUACGUGCAUUGGAACACUAAGAAGGGUUUGAUUUGAGUAACCACAGAUAGGGUAAGGGCUUGAAAUUAUCUCAAGGAAAAUGUGUUAGGCACCCCUUAAGAUCCAGUAGUGGGGUUCCCAGCUAGAAUAUUGUUGUGAAUUUAAUCGCAAACAACAUGUAGGCAAAUAAAAGUUCAAAUAAGAGGGAAUUUUCACAUAAUGGUUACAAAUUAACAAAGUUGAAAAGAACUAAAAGAAAGGUGAUUUUUCCAAAAGAACUAGUUUUAAAUUUGAGAAGAAACAAAGGAAAGGGAAUCCUAGGUUUAUAAAUAAUAUGGAUCACCCCACACAAUAUCCGGUAAUCACCCCCUCAGUGUUGGGCUACACGAGAUGUUAUCGUGUGGUCAUUCAUAUACAUAUCUACCUUUCCCACCCCGUUAAGGUAUUAAAGCGCGGAAUGGUCUUGUUUAGUUAUUGCAUGCUAUUUCCCAUCCCAAUCAUAUCAGUCCCAGAGACAUUUAGGACUAUUAAUACAGGGGAGGGAUAUUUGGCUUAUUUGUAGUUUCAAAGGCAAUAUUCUAAGGUGACAUAAAAAAAGACAUGUAUGGCAAGUUGGGGGAAAAGCACAUAACAAGUAAAAAGGCUCAGAUAUACCUCCUUUAAAAACACAUAAUUUAGCAUGUCUCGCACAUACUGUUUAGGGUAUGAUUAAAUACUGAAUGUGAAAGAACUUAAAGAUCGACGUAGACUGAUUUAUUACAUAAUUCAGAUAAGAAGACCCAAUCAGUCCUUCCUGCCAGUUGUAGUUAAUAGAAAAGAUUUAGUUCAUAAC